rnacentral:misc_RNA from 2 species
AACGCACAUUGCGCCCUUUGGUAUUCCGAAGGGCAUGCCUGUUCGAGCGUCAUUUAAGCCCUCAAGCCUCGCUUGAUGUUGGGCGCGGUCCGUCAGGACCCGCCCGGAACUCGUUGGGCAGGACCGUCCGGCUCCAAGCGUAGCAAGAUUUUAUCCCUCGCUUCGGAGACCUGGCGGCCCUCGCCUGGGAACCCCCCCUCUCACAGCUUGACCUCGGAUCAGGUAGGGAUACCCGCUGAACUUAA